GGCUCGGUAGCUUAUUUGGUAAAGCAUUCGUCUAGCAUAUAAGAUUCGUGGGUUCGAACCCAUCUGAGCAC
rnacentral:tRNA from 1 species